rnacentral:rRNA from 1 species
GGGUAACCUGCCCUAUGCUGGAUAAUAACCUCGGGAAACUGAGAAUAAUGAUCCAUAGUUCACUACGCCUGGAACGGUGAGUGGAUGAAAGCUCCGGCGGCAUAGGAUGGGCCUGCGGCGUAUCAGGUUGUAGGGGGUGUAACGUACCCUCUAGCCCCCUACGCGUACGGGUGUUGGGAGACAUAGCCCGGAGAUGGAUUCUGAGACACGAAUCCAGACCCUACGGGGUGCAGCAGGCGCGAAAACUUGGCAAUGCGAGAAAUCGUGACCAGGGAACUCCAAGUGCAUCGGGUAAGACCGGUGCUUUUCUUGACUCUAAAUAGGUCUUGGAAUAAGGGGUGGGUAAGGACGGUGCCAGCCGCCGCGGUAAUACCGGCGCCUCAAGUGGUAGUCGCUUUUAUUGGGCCUAAAACGUUCGUAGCCGGUCUGAUACAUUCGUGGGUAAAUCAACCAGCUCAACUGGUUGAAUUCUGCGAGGACGGUCAGACUUGGGACCGGGAGAGGUGUGGGGUACGCUCAGGGUAGGGGUAAAAUCCUGUCAUCCUGAGCGGACCACCUGUUGCGAAGGCGCCACACUAGAACGGAUCCGACGGUCAGGGACGAAGCCUAGGGGCACGAACCGGAUUAGAUACCCGGGUAGUCCUAGGUGUAAACGCUGUGGACUUGAUGUUGGGGGUGCUCCGAGCACUCUCAGUGUCGAAGCGAAGGUGAUAAGUCCACUGCCUGGGAAGUACGGUCGCAAGGCUGAAACUU